rnacentral:rRNA from 1 species
AUAUACGACCAUACCCACUGGAAUAUACGGGAUCCCGUCCGCUCUCCCCUAGUCAAACCAGUGAGGGCCGAACUAGUACUCAGGUGGGUGACCACUGGGGAAUCCUCGGUGUUGUAUGUU